UACGAAGGGGGCUAGCGUUGCUCGGAAUCACUGGGCGUAAAGCGCACGUAGGCGGAUUUCUAAGUCAGGGGUGAAAUCCUGGAGCUCAACUCCAGAACUGCCUUUGAUACUGGGAAUCUUCGAGUCCGGGAGAGGUGAGUGGAACUGCGAGUGUAGAGGUGAAAUUCGUAGAUAUUCGCAAGAACACCAGUGGCGAAGGCGGCUCACUGGCCCGAUACUGACGCUGAGGCACGAAAGCGUGGGGAGCAAACAGG
rnacentral:rRNA from 1 species